rnacentral:rRNA from 1 species
UGGGGAAUAUUGGACAAUGGGCGAAAGCCUGAUCCAGCCAUGCCGCGUGUGUGAAGAAGGUCUUCGGAUUGUAAAGCACUUUAAGUUGGGAGGAAGGGCAGUAAGCGAAUACCUUGCUGUUUUGACGUUACCGACAGAAUAAGCACCGGCUAACUCUGUGCCAGCAGCCGCGGUAAUACAGCGGGUGCAAGCGUUAAUCGGAAUUACUGGGCGUAAAGCGCGCGUAGGUGGUUCGUUAAGUUGAAUGUGAAAGCCCCGGGCUCAACCUGGGAACUGCAUCCAAAACUGGCGAGCUAGAGUAGGGCAGAGGGUGGUGGAAUUUCCUGUGUAGCGGUGAAAUGCGUAGAUAUGGGAAGGAACACCAGUGGCGAAGGCGACCACCUGGGCUCAUACUGACACUGAGGUGCGAAAGCGUGGGGAGCAAACAGG